rnacentral:rRNA from 1 species
GAGUUUGAUCAUGGCUCAGGAUUAACGCUGGCGGCAUGCCUAAUACAUGCAAGUCGAACGGAGUAGCAAUACUUAGUGGCGAACGGGUGAGUAACACGUAUCUAAUCUACCAUUUAGUGGGGAAUAACUGUUGGAAACGACAGCUAAUACCGCAUAAUAUUGCUGGAUAAUUUCCAGUAAUGAAAGGAGCUUUCAAGCUCCGCUGAUUGAUGAGGAUGCGGCGCAUUAGCUAGUUGGUAGGGUAAUGGCCUACCAAGGCAAUGAUGCGUAGCCGAUCUGAGAGGAUGAACGGCCACAUUGGGACUGAGACACGGCCCAAACUUCUACGGAAGGCAGCAGUAGGGAAUUUUUCACAAUGGGCGAAAGCCUGAUGGAGCAAUGCCGCGUGACUGAUGAAGGUCUUCGGAUUGUAAAGGUCUGUUGUAAGGGAAGAAAUGGUAAAACAGGAAAUGGUUUUAUCUAUGACGGUACCUUACCAGAAAGCCACGGCUAACUAUGUGCCAGCAGCCGCGGUAAUACAUAGGUGGCAAGCGUUAUCCGGAUUUAUUGGGCGUAAAGGGUGCGUAGACGGUUUUGCAAGUCUGAGGUUAAAUUUAGGAGCUCAACUCCUAAUCGCCUUGGAAACUACAAGACUAGAGUAUAGGAGAGGUUAGUGGAAUUUCCAUGUGUAGCGGUGGA